rnacentral:rRNA from 1 species
ACUCAUACGGGAGGCAGCAGUGGGGAAUAUUGGACAAUGGGGGCUACCCAUGAUCCAGCAAUGCCGCGUGUGUGAAGAAGGCCUGCGGGUUGUAAAGCACUUUCAGCAGGGAAGAAAAGCCUGGGGUUAAUACCCCCGGGUCUUGACGUUACCUGCACAAGAAGCACCGGCUAACUCCGUGCCAGCAGCCGCGGUAAUACGGAGGGUGCAAGCGUUAAUCGGAAUUACUGGGCGUAAAGCGCACGUAGGCGGUCGAGUAAGUCGGAUGUGUAAAGCCCCGGGCUUAACCUGGGAAUUGCAUUCGAUACUGCCUGACUGGAGUAUGGGAGAGGAAAGCGGAAUUUCCGGUGUAGCGGUGAUAUGCGUAGAUAUCGGAAGGAACAUCAAUGGCGAAGGCAGCUUUCUGGCCCAAUACUGACGCUGAGGUGCGAAAGCGUGGGGAUCAAACAGGAUUAGAUACCCUGGUAGUCCACGCUGUAAACGAUGAGAACUAGAUGUUGGGAGGGUUUAGCCUCUCAGUGUCGCAGCUAACGCACAUAAGUUCUCCGCCUGGGGAGUAC